UACGUAGGGGGCGAGCGUUGUCCGGAUUUAUUGGGCGUAAAGAGCUCGUAGGCGGUUCGAUAAGUCGGACGUGAAAUCUCCACGCUCAACGUGGAGGGGCCGUUCGAUACUGUCGUGACUCGAGUCCGGUAGGGGAGUGUGGAAUUCCCGGUGUAGCGGUGAAAUGCGCAGAGAUCGGGAGGAACACCCGUAGCGAAGGCGGCACUCUGGGCCGGUACUGGACGCUGAGGAGCGAAAGCGUGGGGAGCAAACAG
rnacentral:rRNA from 1 species